rnacentral:rRNA from 1 species
GACGAACGCUGGCGGCGUGCCUAACACAUGCAAGUCGAACGGAAAGGUCCGGCUUUUGUGGGGUGGUCGGGUGGCGAACGGGUGAGUAACACGUGAGUAACCUGCCCUUGACGUUGGGAUAACUUAAGGAAGCUGGGGCCAAUACCGGAUAGGAGUUCCUGCUGCAUGGUGGGGCUUGGUAAGUUUCGGCGGUUGGGGAUGGAAUCGCGGCUUAUCAGCUUGUUGGUGGGGUAGUGGCUUACCAAGGCCUUGAGGGGUAGACGGCCUGGUCGGGGGACCGGACACGCUGGGCCUGAGCUACGACACAGACUCGUCCGGGACGCAGCGGUGGGGUAUGUUGCACAACGGACUGAGGGCAAAUGCAGCGCAGCCGCGUGGGGGAUAUCGGCCUUCGGGUUGUAAACCGCAUUCGUUUGUGACGGGGCGUGAGUGACGGUAAUGGGUGAAGAAGCACCGGCUAACUACGUG